GGCACCUCCCAUCUCAAGCCACUUCUUACAGGUUCCAGGAGGCAUUUCAGUUUAUCCUAAAGAGAGGGGCCCUUUUUUUAGGGUUUCCUAGCCAAGCCCUCCCUGGAUCUAUCUCCUUCAUAGAUGGUGCCAUACAAGCCUUUGACAGCAUGUGGCCCUCAACUCUACAGGACCAGCUGGACCAUGAGGAUGCUGAGCAGAGAUUCCUACAGGUGUCCUCUGCAGAUGGGCCCCCGGAGGGGCACUCCUUGCUGUCCAUACUCACUGCCUUGGUUCUUCAGGCCCUGCUCUAUUUAGGAAGGCAGAUCUUGGACAACACAGCUGACUGCUACACCACCCGGAAUAUGGGUCCACAUCUCUGGCCUACUGCUCACUGAAACUAGCUUGCCCUCAGAUGUGCCGCCUUUUGCAGGCCUAGACACCUGUGUGCCUGUCCCCUAGAUUGAGAAUUGGAGGCUGGGGUCUGACUGUAAAGCCUCUGCUUUCCCUAGCAGUGGGUGUCUUCAUUGUAUUCAUCACACCCCUUGAGAUGGUCCCUUUGUAGAGGCCUCAUUGGGCCUCUAAAUCUCUAGAGCAGGUCAGAGACUACCUGAAUUCCUAGAGCUAGGAAACGGAAUUCACUUCUCAGGGGACAGACCCACAGGCUAUGGCCUUUUCCCCAGUGCUUUCUCCAGCACUAGGAGAGGCAUGCUCAAUAAACCCAUGUGCAUGGCAGCCAA